AAUAUUGGACAAUGGGCGAAAGCCUGAUCCAGCCAUGCCGCGUGAGUGAAGAAGGCCUUCGGGUUGUAAAGCUCUUUCGACGGGGACGAUGAUGACGGUAUCCGUAUAAGAAGCCCCGGCAAACUUCGUGCCAGCAGCCGCGGUAAUACGAAGGGGGCUAGCGUUGUUCGGAAUUACUGGGCGUAAAGCGAACGUAGGCGGUGUUCCAUGUCAGAGGUGAAAGCCUGGGGCUCAACUCCAGAAUUGCCUUUGAAACGGGGACGCUUGAGUCCGAGAGAGGAUGGCGGAAUUCCUAGUGUAGAGGUGAAAUUCGUAGAUAUUAGGAAGAACACCGGUGGCGAAGGCGGCCAUCUGGCUCGGUACUGACGCUCAGGUUCGAAAGCGUGGGGAGCAAACAGG
rnacentral:rRNA from 1 species